rnacentral:rRNA from 1 species
GAUGAACGCUGGCGGCGUGCUUAACACAUGCAAGUCGAACGGAAAGGCCGAAGCUUGCUUCGGUACUCGAGUGGCGAACGGGUGAGUAACACGUGGGUGAUCUGCCCUGUACUUCGGGAUAAGCUUGGGGAACUGGGUCUAAUACCGGAUAUGACGAUCUCUUGGAUGGGGUUGUGGAAAGCUUUUGCGGUAUGGGAUGAGCUCGCGGCCUAUCAGCUUGUUGGUGGGGUAAUGGCCUACCAAGGCGUCGACGGGUAGCCGGCCUGAGAGGGUGUACGGCCACAUUGGGACUGAGAUACGGCCCAGACUCCUACGGGAGGCAGUAGUGGGGAAUAUUGCACAAUGGGCGCAAGCCUGAUGCAGCGACGCCGCGUGGGGGAUGACGGCCUUCGGGUUGUAAACUCCUUUCGCAAUCGACGAAGCCUUUUGGUGACGGUAGGUUGAGAAGAAGCACCGGCUAACUACGUG